GGUCGGCACUCACUGGAGCUGGUGAAGUACAGUGUGGACAGGUCCUGUUCUUUUCCUCAGGGUUACAGAGUUGUAUCUGACAGAGAUGCUGAGAUGUUUUGCCAGUUCCCAGGAAACCAGUGGGGAAGACAGAGUCGCUGCCUGAGGUGCCCCAGCAAGCCAGCAAGCCGUGGCUUUCUCUGGCAUAAUGCAAGCCCAUAAGAGCUGUGUGAUCCCAGCAGCUGCUCUAAAGGUCAAAUCUGAAACUGGUUAGGUAACAAGACUGGAUAGCGCACCGAAUCUGAGAAAAUGAAGGUGCCCUAGAGGUCAGAGAGUCCAAAUCUUCACUGUGCAAAAGAGAAAACUGAGGCCCAGAGAAUAGGAACAGCUAUGCAUGUGAUUUUGCUGACAAAACCCAUCUGCACCUGCAAGAACAAGGCUCAAAUCCUGGGUGAGGAUGGAUCUUUCACCAAGUGCAGCUUGAGGCUCACUGAGAAAUACUGCCCGACCCAGCAAACUUACCACAAUGAGAAACACUUCUGUGCCUGUGCUCUGCUCUUCCAGCCCCACAUCCCUCAGCCUGCAGGA